rnacentral:rRNA from 1 species
UACGUAGGUGGCAAGCGUUGUCCGGAUUUACUGGGCGUAAAGGGCGUGCAGGCGGUCUGUUAAGUGCAGGGUGAAAGCUCCCGGCUCAACUGGGAGAGGUCCUUGCAUACUGGCGGACUUGAGGGGGGUAGAGGAAAGUGGAAUUCCCGGUGUAGUGGUGAUAUGCGUAGAUAUCGGGAGGAACACCUGCGGCGAAGGCGGCUUUCUGGGCCCUACCUGACGCUGAGACGCGAAAGCGUGGGGAGCGAACCGG